rnacentral:rRNA from 1 species
UACGUAGGGUGCGAGCGUUAAUCGGAAUUACUGGGCGUAAAGCGUGCGCAGGCGGUUUUGUAAGCCAGAUGUGAAAUCCCCGGGCUUAACCUGGGAAUGGCAUUUGGGACUGCAAGGCUUGAGUUUGGCAGAGGAGACUGGAAUUCCUGGUGUAGCAGUGAAAUGCGUAGAUAUCAGGAGGAAUACCGAUGGCGAAGGCAGGUCUCUGGGCUAGAACUGACGCUCAUGCACGAAAGCUAGGGGAGCAAACAGG